CAACCGUUUCAACAUUACAUAGUCAAGCCCAAACCAAUAAGCCAUUCAAGCCCAUCAAAAUGCCAUCCUAAAUCUGAAUUUUUAAACCCAAAAGAAAAAGGAAAAUAAAAAUCAACACCAACAUCAUCAACAUCACGCAUCAUUCUUCACCAUCAUCACUAAUCACCAUGUUCAUCAUCAUACAUCCAUGGAAGCUUCUUGCAAGUUGCAAAUUUACUACUUAGCUUCUUCUACGUGUAAAUCUCUAAAUCAAACACCAUCAUCAAGCUCUCUCCACCAUAUGAUGCACCACCCAAAUCACCCAAUCAAAAUUGAUUCUCAAUCUGAAUAAUCACUCAAAUUCAUCUAUAAAUAGUGCAAGGAUUCAACUAAAUUCAAUUCACAAAUCAAUUGCUAACUCAUCUUCAAAUUUCAGCAAGUUUCAAUUCAAGAAAAAUCAAUUUCAAACCUCCCUGCUUCUCGUUUUGCUCCCGCCGACCACCGCCGCGGCUCUGCCGCUGCGUCAGCCACCACCACCCUGCUUCUUCGACCUUCUCCUGCUCCUCCCUCAUGCUCGCCGUCCUACCUCCACCACCGUCGCCCUCCUCCUCUCCUCUUCCUCUCGCGACUCCCUCCUAUCUCUUUCCUCUUCGUUGCGCUCCCUGCAGCGUCACCACCAGCAGAACCCGCGGCCACCCUCCUCGCCUUUUGCAUCACCGGCGCUUCCCUAGCCCGACCGGCGAACCAACCCCGCGCAGCUCCUCCCUUCUCUUCUUCCUCUGACCAAUUUUGGUCUUUUAUUAUUUUAUGAACUAUCAGUAAAUUAAAUACCCAAGUUGAUCUUUCCUUGACCCAUUAAGAAAGCGGUCCUUGGAGCUCAAGAAGAACGGUCAAUCGAAAGUAAGGAAAACGAGUGCUAAUUGAGGUUUGAGGUACCGAAGAGGACAACGGGAUGGAUUAGUGGUGAGGACGUAUCAGUUAAAGCAAGGUUACUCAGUUUAAUAAGUGAGCUUCACUAGUUAAUUAUGUACUAAAACUCUAGCUUUAAAUUCUAAGGAUUAUUAUGGUUUGUAUUAUGACAAUUUAGUUAAUAUCACGAGUCUUUUGUUA